UUAUUUUAGCAGCAGCCAUAUCAUAGCCAAUGAGUUUAAUCCAAGGUGUGAUUAUUGCUAAUUGGAAACUGCUCCAUACCCUCCUUGACUGUUUCUUCCUGGAUGGAAUGUGUCCUUGAAUUCUGAUCAUGCCUUUUGUAUCCCUGGAUGGAGGC